GAUAUGGCUCAGGAUGAACGCUAGCUACAGGCUUAACACAUGCAAGUCGAGGGGCAGCGGGAUUGAAGCUUGCUUCAAUUGCCGGCGACCGGCGCACGGGUGAGUAACGCGUAUCCAACCUUCCGUACACUCAGGGAUAGUCUUUCGAAAGAAAGAUUAAUACCUGAUGGUAUCUUAAGCACACAUGUAAUUAAGAUUAAAGAUUUAUCGGUGUACGAUGGGGAUGCGUUCCAUUAGGUAGUAGGG
rnacentral:rRNA from 1 species